GAGCUUCCAGCAGACCUGCCAGUCAGAUGGGUGUGUUCUUCCAGGAGCCAAGCAUCUGGUUCAGCUAAUUUCCUUAGGAAGUCAGAAGUUGUCACAUGUGCUGAGUCUUGGGCUCUAUUAUGGAGUGAGUCAGCUCAACAGCAGAACCAUGGUGAGUGAGGGGCUGCUCUCCACAGAUGGGGAGGAGCAAUGGGCCAAGAUGAGUGAGGGGCCACUGUCCCCAGGUGGGAAAGAAUGGCCAGCCAUGGUGAGUGAGGGGCUGCUGUCCCAAUGCAGUGAGGAGUACCUAGUAUUGUUGGGUGCAGUGCUGCUGUCCCCAGACUAGGUGGAGCAGCCAACUGAGGCUGGGGAACUGGUUUGGUGGAUCCUUCCCUGGCUAGGAUGGAGCAAACUUCCAGACACAGAGUUCAGCAUGUUCCUGCCUGGUUCUGCCUAGUCCAGCAUGGUCCUAUGUUGUUCUGGGACCAAUGCCUACCCAGGUCUCCAUAAGCGUUGGAGGCACCAGUUGGAACAGCAUCAAUCUUCUUUCACCAUCCGGCCCAUUAUGAUCUUGCUUCCUGACUUCAGCACCAGCGGCUCUGUCACAAGCUUGCCAUCAGUUCCUUCACCACGCUGUAAUGUGACCAUCACUUCUCCAUCAGGCUGAGGGAUGCUUCAGAAGAGACAGUGUCGCCCUGGAUGAACUAUCCAGUCAACUUGAUGUCCACAUCUACCUGGCCAACUCUGGUGACAGCAUCUUUGAUGUGGUAGAGAAGACACUCAGACAUCAAGGGGUCCUCAUUUAGAUUAACCAGAUUAACUCUUUUUUUUUUUUUGGAGA